CUGAAAUUCGCCUGUAUGAAGCCGGAAUUGCUAGUAAUGGCAGGUCAGCAUACUGCCGUGAAUACGUUCCCGGGCCUUGUACACACCGCCCGUCACACCAUGAGAGUUGGGGAUACCCAAAGCCCGUGAGCCAACUUAUAAGAGGCAGCGGUCUAAGGUAGAAUCAAUGAUUGGGGUGAAGUCGUAACAAGGUAUC
rnacentral:rRNA from 1 species